GUUGAACGCUGGCGGCAGGCCUAACACAUGCAAGUCGAACGAGUGGCGGACGGGUGAGUAAUGUCUGGGAAACUGCCCGAUGGAGGGGGAUAACUACUGGAAACGGUAGCUAAUACCGCAUACCAUCGGAUGUGCCCAGAGGGGAUUAGCUAGUAGGUGGGGUAACGGCUCACGUAGGCGACGAUCCCUAGCUGGUCUGAGAGGAUGACCAGCAACACUGGAACUGAGAAACGGUCCAGACUCCUACGGGAGGCAGAAGUGGGGAAUAUUCGGCAAUGGGCGAAAGCCGGAUGCAGCAAGGCCGCGUGAAUGAAGAAGGCUUUCGGGUGGUAAAGUACUUUCGGUGGGGAGGCGUUACCCGCACAGGAAGCACCGGCUAACUCCGUGCCAGCAGCCGCGGUAAUUC
rnacentral:rRNA from 1 species